GACGGAAGGUGCAAGCGUUGCUCGGAAUCACUGGGCGUAAAGGGUGCGUAGGCGGCCGUGCAAGUCUGGCGUGAAAGCCCCGGGCUCAGCCCGGGAAGUGCGCUCGAAACUGCGCGGCUCGAGUGCCGGAGGGGAGAGUGGAAUUCCUGGUGUAGCGGUGAAAUGCGUAGAUAUCAGGAAGAACACCGAUGGCGAAGGCAGCUCUCUGGGACGGUACUGACGCUGAGACGCGAAAGCGUGGGGAGCGAACAGG
rnacentral:rRNA from 1 species